UGGCUCAGACAGUAAAGCGUCUGUCUACAAUGCAGGAGACCCAGGUUCGAUCCCUGG
rfam:TPA: Bos taurus chromosome 5, whole genome shotgun sequence.